rnacentral:miRNA from 1 species
CAAAUAUAUGCAUAUGUAUGUGUGUGUGUGUGUGUGUGUGUGUGUGUGUGUAUAUAUAUAUACACACACAUACAUACAUAC